UACGUAGGGUGCGAGCGUUGUCCGGAGUUACUGGGCGUAAAGAGCUCGUAGGCGGUGUGUCGCGUCGGCCGUGAAAUCCUGCUGCUUAACGGCGGGCUUGCGGUCGAUACGGGCAGACUAGAGUUCGGUAGGGGAGACCGGAAUUCCUGGUGUAGCGGUGAAAUGCGCAGAUAUCAGGAGGAACACCGGUGGCGAAGGCGGGUCUCUGGGCCGAUACUGACGCUGAUGUGCGAAAGCGUGGGGAUCAAACAGG
rnacentral:rRNA from 1 species